AGGAGAUGCAGUGUGGUGGAGUGGUUAAGCCCAUGGGUCUAUAUCAGAGAAUAUGAAUUUGACUCCUGGUUCCAUUAAGGAAUCUGCUAGUCUUCACUGUUGAUGAUAUUUCUUUAAGAAGCUGUAUACCAAUGAGGCAUGUGACAUGAAGGACUGUCCUGCAGGGCAGAGGCGUACAUGGUGUGAAGAGAGACCAACCCCUGAUGUGAGCAGAGCCAGCUUCAUGGGAAACCUGAUCCUGAUCUUUGUGCCACGGAAG